UACGUAGGCAGCGAGCGUUGUUCGGAGUUACUGGGCGUAAAGGGUGCGUAGGCGGUUGUUUAAGUUUGGUGUGAAAUCUCCCGGCUCAACUGGGGAGGGUCACGCGAUACUGAUCGACUGGAAGGCAGGAGAGGGUAGUGGAAUUCCCGGUGUAGUGGUGAAAUGCGUAGAUAUCGGGAGGAACACCAGUGGCGAAGGCGACUACCUGGCCUGUUCUUGACGCUGAGGCGCGAAAGCUAGGGGAGCAAACGGG
rnacentral:rRNA from 1 species